rnacentral:rRNA from 1 species
GAUGAACGCUAGCGAUAGGCCUUACACAUGCAAGUCGAGGGGCAGCACGAAAGCGUAGCAAUACAAUUUUGGUGGCGACCGGCGCACGGGUGAGUAACGCGUAUGCAACCUACCUACUACUUUGGCAUAGCUCGUUGAAAGACGAAUUAAUACCUUAUAAUACAGGGGCUCCGCAUGGAGAUAUUUGUUAAAGAUUUAUCGGUAGUAGAUGGGCAUGCGUUCCAUUAGUUAGUUGGUGAGGUAACGGCUCACCAAGACAACGAUGGAUAGGGGAACUGAGAGGUUUGUCCCCCACACUGGAACUGAGACACGGUCCAGACUCCUACGGGAGGCAGCAGUGAGGAAUAUUGGUCAAUGGAGGCAACUCUGAACCAGCCAAGUCGCGUGAAGGAUGACUGCCCUACGGGUUGUAAACUUCUUUUUUAAGGGAAUAAAGUGAGCCACGUGUGGCUUUUUGCAUGUACCUUACGAAUAAGGAUCGGCUAACUCCGUGCCAGCAGCCGCGGUAAUACGGAGGAUCCGAGCGUUAUCCGGAUUUAUUGGGUUUAAAGGGUGCGCAGGCGGAAUAUUAAGUCGGCGGUGAAAGUUUGCAGCUUAACUGUAAAAUUGCCGUUGAAACUGGUUUUCUUGAGUGUAUAUGAAGUAGGCGGAAUUUGUAGUGUAGCGGUGAAAUGCAUAGAUAUUACAAGGAACUCCGAUUGCGAAGGCAGCUUACUAAAAUACAACUGACGCUCAGGCACGAAGGCGUGGGUAUCAAACAGG